rnacentral:rRNA from 2 species
UAGGGAAUUUUCGGCAAUGGGGGAAACCCUGACCGAGCAACGCCGCGUGAAUGAAGAAGUAUUUCGGUAUGUAAAGUUCUUUUAUUGAGGAAGAACAGCAUGGAUAGGAAAUGAUCUGUGUUUGACGGUACUCAAUGAAUAAGCCCCGGCUAACUAUGUGCCAGCAGCCGCGGUAAUACAUAGGGGGCAAGCGUUAUCCGGAAUUAUUGGGCGUAAAGGGUGCGUAGGCGGUCUAUUAAGUCUGAGGUGUAAGUGCAGGGCUCAACCCUGUGAUGCUUUAGAAACUGGUAGACUUGAGUGAGAUAGAGGCAAGUGGAAUUCCAUGUGUAGCGGUAAAAUGCGUAAAUAUAUGGAGGAACACCAGUGGCGAAGGCGGCUUGCUGGGUCUAUACUGACGCUGAGGCACGAAAGCGUGGGGAGCAAACAGG